UCCGGAUUUAUUGGGCGUAAAGCGAGCGCAGGCGGUUAGAUAANUCUGAAGUUAAAGGCUGUGGCUUAACCAUAGUAUGCUUUGGAAACUGUUUAACUUGAGUGCAGAAGGGGAGAGUGGAAUUCCAUGUGUAGCGGUGAAAUGCGUAGAUAUAUGGAGGANCACCGGUGGCGAAAGCGGCUCUCUGGUCUGUAACUGACGCUGAGGCUCGAAAGCGUGGGGAGCAANCAGGAUUAGAUACCCUGGUAGUNCACGCCGUAAACGAUGAGUGCUAGAUGUUAGGCCCUUUCCGGGGCUUAGUGCCGCAGCUAACGCAUUAAGCACUCCGCCUGGGGAGUACGUCCGCAAGGUUGAAACUCAAAGGAAUUGACGGGGGCCCGCACAAGCGGUGGAGCAUGUGGUUUAAUUCGAAGCAACGCGAAGAACCUUACCAGGUCUUGACAUCCCUCUGACCGCUCUAGAGAUAGAGUUUUCCUUCGGGACAGAGGUGACAGGUGGUGCAUGGUUGUCGUCAGCUCGUGUCGUGAGAUGUUGNNNNAANNNNNGCAACGAGCGCAACCCCUAUUGUUAGUUGCCAUCAUUCAGUUGGGCACUCUAGCGAGACUGCCGGUAAUAAACCGGAGGAAGGUGGGGAUGACGUCAAAUCAUCAUGCCCCUUAUGACCUGGGCUACACACGUGCUACAAUGGCUGGUACAACGAGUCGCAAGCCGGUGACGGCAAGCUAAUCUCUGAAAGCCAGUCUCAGUUCGGAUUGUAGGCUGCAACUCGCCUACAUGAAGUCGGAAUCGCUAGUAAUCGCGGAUCAGCACGCCGCGGUGAAUACGUUCCCGGGCNU
rnacentral:rRNA from 1 species